GUGGGGAAUAUUGCACAAUGGGCGCAAGCCUGAUGCAGCCAUGCCGCGUGUAUGAAGAAGGCCUUCGGGUUGUAAAGUACUUUCAGCGGGGAGGAAGGCGGUGAGGUUAAUAACCUUGCCGAUUGACGUUACCCGCAGAAGAAGCACCGGCUAACUCCGUGCCAGCAGCCGCGGUAAUACGGAGGGUGCAAGCGUUAAUCGGAAUUACUGGGCGUAAAGCGCACGCAGGCGGUCUGUUAAGUCAGAUGUGAAAUCCCCGGGCUUAACCUGGGAACUGCAUUUGAAACUGGCAGGCUUGAGUCUCGUAGAGGGGGGUAGAAUUCCAGGUGUAGCGGUGAAAUGCGUAGAGAUCUGGAGGAAUACCGGUGGCGAAGGCGGCCCCCUGGACGAAGACUGACGCUCAGGUGCGAAAGCGUGGGGAGCAAACAGGAUUAGAAACCCCAGUAGUCC
rnacentral:rRNA from 1 species